rnacentral:misc_RNA from 1 species
GGCAUAUUUCAUUUAGCGAAGAAGUUGUUAUACAUAAUAGUAGCAAAUAUCUUCAACUCUCCGACAGUCAUGAAUCUCAGCUUUUAUUAUAUAAUUGCAAAAACCAAUCAAUCAAAUUCACCACAUUGCUCUCAGUUCAUAAACAAUUUGCAAAAAAUAUCAAAUUGACGCUGGCAGCACUCUCUGAUUCAAUAUCACAUUGUAGCUAUUACCCAUUUGCCUUUGCAGCUCUUCCCGAUAAUUUUGAAGCUGUUUCUGAUUAAUAACCCCUGAAAUCCCAAACCAGCGAGGAUCGCCUCGGAUACACGUGUUGGGGACCUGCUUGGAUUGCAAUUCAGCUUUCAGAAUUCCCCCCCUGUGAUUGUGCUUCGAUUUCGUGUUGUACAUCUUUAGAUGGCGCACGGUGGAGGCACUGUGCUUAGAGCACCUAUUUUUUCUUUUUGUUUUUGCAGUUUAUGUUUA